UUGCUUCAGGAGUACAUAUACUAAUAUUGGAACAAUACAGAGAAGAUAACAUGGCCUCUGUGCAAAGACAGACCUGCAAAUUCGUGACACUUUCCACGUUUUA